UGGGUUGUCAGGGUUAGAGUCUAGGUUGCGGAUAGAGGCCGCCAGCUCACUGAGUAAUACUAGGUUACUCAUCCAACUCUGUUGUCCUUUUUGCAGGUCGCUUUAGGUAAGGAUGAUCGGAUAGCUUGGUGUUGGACGUUAGGACCGCCGGAGUAGAUUUCAUGCCUUUUGUAAACGGUAUUGCGUUAUGGGUUUUGUUGGCUCGAUUUGAUAUUAGGCCGGACCCAGUCUUGAAUUAUUUCAAUGUAUGGAUAUUUCUUGAAUCAAUAAAGUAAAUGUUUUAUAUGCGCUUCAUGAGUACUCUGAUAUUUGACUAGUCCGGUCUAACACAACGUUAGGUCAGGGUACGGGUUGAAAAGCCUUAGGCCUCGAUCUAACGGAAAACGCUAACUCUAGGUACGGGUUGCAAAACCUUGUGCCUUGACGCAGCGGGACGAGUUAGUGGAGGAACUGGUCGAGGUCGUGGAGUAAAUUUUGUGACUCUGACCGGAUCCUACCUAACCCGUCACGUAGCGCUUCCGGACAAUGGUGUUGGGUUGGACGGUCAGUCAUGUUCUUGUUUGAU
rnacentral:lncRNA from 1 species